UUUAUACUCCCUCCGUUCCAAAAUAGAUGACUCAACUUUGUACUAACUUUAAUACAAAGUUGAGUCAUCUAUUUUGGAACGGAGGGAGUAUAUC
rnacentral:pre_miRNA from 1 species